AUGCACACCGACGUCAGAGGUGGCGAUCCCGGCCGAUUACGCCGGCGGUCGCUGAAACAGGGAAACAGGUCGAACGCCUGUGCUGCCCCCGCAACGGUAGGCGGUGACGCCGGCAUCAAUGCGCCACUGGUCCGGACAGCCCCGGGCCGGGAAGGCGAUGUCGGUAGACCGCGAGCCCGGAGACCGGCCUCUGACCGGCUUUCCCG
rnacentral:ncRNA from 2 species